rnacentral:rRNA from 1 species
ACUAACUAUCUAGCUUAUUUAAACCCCACUCUUCACAACCCUAAAUAAAAUAUUCUAACAACUUAGUAAAGAAGAUUAAAAAACUUUUAUGAAGCCACAAACAUGUACCGCAAGGGAAAGAUGAAAUAAAAAUGAAAUAAAUUUUAAGAACAAAAAAGUAGAGACUUCCCCUCGUACCUUUUGCAUCAUGGUUUAGCUAGUCUAAUUAGGCAAAAAGACCUUUAAGUCUAACCUCCCGAAGCUAAGUGAGCUAAUUUAGGGCUGCUUAAUGAGCUAACCCGUCUAUGUAGCAAAAUAGUGGAGUGACCCUAAAAUAGAAGUGACAAGCCUAACGAACUUAGUUAUAGCUGGUUUCUCAAGAAAAGAAUAUUAGUUCCGCCUAAAGCAAUAAUAAUCUUAACAAAUUAAUCCCAUCCUUUAGAGUAAUUCAAAUAAGGUACAGCCUAUUUGAUUUCGAACCCAACCUUCACCUUCGGGUAAUAUAAUAACCCUUACACAUAAGUUGGCUUAAGAGCAGCCACCCUUACACAUAAGUUGGCUUAAGAGCAGCCACCUUUCAAAAAGCGUCAAAGCUUAUCCGUACCUACACAAAUACAUCUAUUCACCUAGACCCCUACAACCCUACUGAGAAAUUCUAUACCCCCUAUAGAAGAUAUUAUGCUAAAACUAGUAACAAGAGGAACAACCUCUCUUUAUGCAAACGUAAGCCAAGAAGAAUCCAUCAUUGGCAAUCAACAACUAAUAGUAGCAACACACUAAGAAAACCCUACUUAAACAACUGUUAACCUAACACCAGAGCAUUUCAAGAAAGAUUAAAAGAAAAAGAAGGAACUCGGCAAAUAAUUUAUUCCGCCUGUUUACCAAAAACAUCGCCUCUUGACCCCAUAAGAGGUCCAGCCUGCCCAGUGACCUAGUUCAACGGCCGCGGUACCCUAACCGUGCGAAGGUAGCGUAAUCACUUGUCUUCUAAAUAGAGACUAGUAUGAAAGGCAUCACGAGAACUUAACUGUCUCCCUUUUCCAAUCAGUGAACCUAAUCUCCCCGUGAAGAAGCGGGGAUUCAUAAAUAAGACGAGAAGACCCUAUGGAGCUUUAAACACUAACUAUCUGCUCACAUUAAUAAUACUCAGGCUCCUAAACUAAUGCACUUUAGCUACGUGUUUUUGGUUGGGGUGACCGCGGAAAAUAACACAACCUCCACAAUGAAACCUUUCAAACUAUAAACUACAACUUUAAGUAUCAACAAACUGACAUCCAUUGACCCAAUAUAUUGAUUAAUGAACCAAGUUACCCUAGGGAUAACAGCGCAAUCCACUUCAAGAGCCCAUAUCGACAAGUGGGCUUACGACCUCGAUGUUGGAUCAGGGUAUCCCAGUGGUGCAGCAGCUACUGAAGGUUCGUUUGUUCAACGAUUAAAACCCCACGUGAUCUGAGUUCAGACCGGAGUAAUCCAGGUCGGUUUCUAUCUAUUUAUCCAUAAGGCUUUUUACAGUACGAAAGGACCCAAAAAGCAUGGUCCAUGCCCAAGCAAACCAUAGUUACCACUUUAUGCCACCCACUCAAAAUGCAUUAGCCUUUCCCCCCCGACCUUAAGAAAACAGCGU